AACUGUAAAAUUGUACAGAUGAUCUAGUUUACAUAAAAUCAUUUGUAUUUAUAUACAAUUAUACGUAAAUUUUUCUGUGCUUUUAUUCAUUUAUAUUCAUCAGCAUUUUUACAAACUUUCAUAUUUAUUUGGACAAAUUUUCAUAAAUCCAAACUUUCAUCGAUACCAAAGCAACACGAGCAGGCAUAAAUUAUUGUCUCUUAAUGUAUAACUACAAAACCCAUGAAAAAAAAUUAGUACUUAACAAAAAAUAACUUAAAAACAGUUGACACCCUUGGCAACCCUCGAAACUUCUCUCUAUUUUCGAUUUCAAGGCACUCAAAAACAUCGUAAUUAAAACGUUGUUGAGAACUCAAUAAAAUAGAUGAUAAUGGUUUCUUAAGUUGAAAAAUCUAGAAUUUCAUUAUAUUGCUUGACAGAACAUCGGCGAGGAAUAAAAAACCAACACUUAUGGAUAUUGCUCCAUACUCCUGAUUCGUGAAUCAUGUAACCUGUCAAUAAAAUCUUUGUGACACAGAAUCAUCAAAAAAAGUUAGUGAGGCAAUUUCUUCCGAUAAAUACGACAAAUCGAGUGAUCAAAAUUAUACAACGUGCUUAUCGUUAUUAAAAAAUGUGAAGGUAGUGAACGAUAUUGCUGAAAGAACAGUUGCUUCAGUUGAAGAAUUCAUUCAGUUUGGUACUAAAGAC